rnacentral:lncRNA from 1 species
UUGUGUGACUUAUACGACGGAAGUGGCUAGACAAUAAAGAAUGGUGUAAGUAAGAGAAUGACUAUGUUGAGAGUGCUGCGACUUUGGAAACUACAGUUUGUGAAGUUCGUCAUAAGGGAAUGAAUUGUGUAGUAUAUUAUGAUGAUGAAGUUGCACCAACCAAAAUCAAAAGUUCUACGGUGGUUUUAUAGGGUGGGUGUAUAUCAUUACAGGGUCAUUGUACGACGGCUACGACGGUACUCGUGUUAUCUUGGUUAGGG